rnacentral:sRNA from 1 species
AGAGCUGCGCGCCGCGGCGGCGGAAGAUGGCUGCGGCCGAGGUGGCGGACACUCAGCUGAUGCUUGGAGUCGGGCUGAUCGUGACCAUCUUUCCACCGUAGAAAAGGACACAAAUGGAGAAGUUCUGUGGGUGUGGUGUUAUCCUUCCACGACAGCCACAUUAAGGAACCUGCUGCUGAGAAAAUGCUGCCUUACAGAUGAAAACAAACUUCUCCAUCCCUUUGUCUUUGGUCAGUACAGAAGAACAUGGUUUUAUAUCACAACAAUUGAAGUUCCAGAUUCUUCCAUUUUGAAAAAGAAUGUACCUGAAACAUGGGAGCCCAGUUAAAAUGAUGGAGAGUUAUAUUGCAGUUCUCACAAAGGGGAUAUGCCAGAGUGAAGAAAACGGCUCUUUCCUUAGUAAGGAUUUUGAUGCCCGAAAGGCCUACCUGGCUGGCUCCAUCAAAGACAUUGUAUCUCAGUUUGGAAUGGAAACUGUUAUCUUACACACAGCACUGAUGCUAAAGAAAAGAAUUGUGGUGUAUCACCCCAAGAUAGAAGCAGUCCAGGAGUUCACCAGGACUCUGCCUGCCCUGGUGUGGCACCGACAGGACUGGACCAUCCUUCACUCUUACGUGCACCUCAACGCCGAUGAGCUGGAAGCCCUGCAGAUGUGCACAGGUUACGUCGCUGGAUUUGUAGACUUGGAGGUG